GCGGCGGCGGCGACAGCGGCGGGCCAGGCAAGAGCACAACAUGGCGGCGAGCAGGCCGGACCGAGCUACAGCAGCGGCCGCGCGAGGAACCUCUGGUAAUCACCAUUCUAGUUUCACCUUUUGGCCACUAUGAAUGAUGCUUCUGUGGACAUUAGUAUACAAAUAUCUGCUGGAGUCCCUGCUUUUGAUUGUUUGGGGUAUAUACCCAGAAGUGAAGUUGCUGGAUUAUAUGCCCUGGCGGAGAAUGUGAAGAUAAGGCCAGAGGGAACAUUGAGAAGAAGGAUCUCAGAGAAGAUGGAAAAUUCAACAGAACCUUGGAAAUGCAACUGCUAUUCCAGGACCUUUGUUCCUGGAAUGGACUCUGAGAGUGCAUGGUAAAGUCUAAAGUGAAAAAUUCAAGAGGAGAGCGCUUUCUUUUACCUGACUUUUGGGUCUUAUCUUAGUUAUUACUUCCUUUAGGAAACAUUCCAUGGUCUACCAAGCCUGAGACCCUGAGAUGCUGCCUUUUUUUUUUUUUUUUUUUU